rnacentral:rRNA from 1 species
UUGGGAAUCUUGCACAAUGGGGGAAACCCUGAUGCAGCGACGCCGCGUGGAGGAUGAAGGGUCUAGGCCUGUAAACUCCUUUUGCCCGGAAAGACUUAGGACGGUACCGGGAGAAUAAGCACCGGCUAACUACGUGCCAGCAGCCGCGGUAAGACGUAGGGUGCAAGCGUUGUCCGGAUUUACUGGGCGUAAAGAGCGCGUAGGCGGUCUGUUAAGUGUAGAGUGAAAGCUCCGGGCUCAACCCGGAAAUUGCUGUGCAUACUGGCAGACUUGAGGAUGGAAGAGGUUUGUGGAAUUCCUGGUGUAGCGGUGAAAUGCGUAGAUAUCAGGAGGAACACCCAUGGCGAAGGCAGCAAACUGGUCCAUAUCUGACGCUGAGGCGCGAAAGCGUGGGUAGCAAACA